UUACUUAUAAAGCGAUCAAAAUCAUUCUAAUUAUUACGGGAAAAACAGAGAAAAUAUGCCUCAAAUUCUCAUAUUUGUGUAUGCUUUGAUCAUCUUUCUCUCUCUAAUUCUUGUUGCAACUUAUAAGAGUAUGUUAUUUUUCACAUCAUUUUCAAAUUUAUCUAAUGCACAAUAUUAUAUAACUUUUUAGUAACAUUCUCUUUUCCUUAUUUGACAAUGCAGCUGACGUGCCUUGCAAAACUAACGAUGAUUGUCCAGAGGCACCUCCUCCAAUAAUUGUGAAGUGCAUUAAUAGUAUUUGUGAUAUAUCGAGGUUACCGUAUUAAUUAGGUUUAAAAUUAAUUAUGUUAGCUUUUUUAUUUUUUUGACUUUCACUACCAGUUGAAUCUGAUUCGGGGGUCAGUUCUGGCAUCAAGUGAUUCCAGCCCUCUCCUGAUCGCAGUUGCAGGUGAUCAAACCGUUUAAUCAAAUAAUUUUAUUUGUAUUUUGUACUUUAAUAAUUUUCUUCAAAAAUUUUGUAAAGAAAACUUCAAAAUUUAUAUGUUUCUCUAACCUUUACAUUUUUUAUGACAAACUCAAAGUUGUAUUAUUAAUAUUAUAUCAUCAUCAUGCAAAG
rnacentral:lncRNA from 1 species